CCAGUCACCCGAGUGUCAGUGAAGAAAAGUGCGCGAUGGAAUUAAAUUCUGUGAAAAAUGACAAAAGUAGUUUUCUAAGUGAAUCCACAAAGGAUAUUUGUAAAGAAGUGAGUGUGUCAUGAAAGCAAUGUUCUUAUUAUCGUUAGGAGGCCUUGCUACGGACAUCUAAAUAAUCCAACUAUUUGGUUCAGUUUCGUUUUGUUAGAAGAUUUGCUGCAAAAUCGGGAAACCUCAGUGUUGGUGGUCAAGUUGGAUUUGAGUUCCAGACAAGAGGAGCCCCUGAAGCUAGUGAUCCCUCAAAUGCGAACAUCCUCAUCUUUGGCCCUUUGAUAGUUGUCCAGGAAAGUUUGAUGUCCGGGCUGGAAAAUAUCAUUAAAUCAUGGAACUUUUGUCAGAAAACGACACUGAAAUAAACGAGCUACCUGAUAUGAGAUGUCUGGAUGAGCAUGAUAUCCGCAAGAGACGUCCUUAUUAAAUUUCGUAUAUAAUUUAAAAGGAAUUUUAGGGAAAUUUUAAAGGACAAUCCCGUAAUCCAUGGUAGCAUUGCAGACAAGAGUAUCCUGAUAUGAAAUACUGCAAUUUCAUGCUUCUCCAUGGACUAAAACCGGAACGGUUUAAGGAAAACGACAAGUUCUUCAAACCUACAAUUAAAGGUAGUCAGGACAGCAUGGCAAACGACAUCGACAAUAUGUUUCGAAAGUGAAGGACUAUGCUGCAUUUAAAAUAUCCAGAGGAAUAUAAUAAGGUAUGGAGUUUUAUACAAUAUAUCAAUAUGACCAUAGACAUCAAUAGGUCAAUUCACAGUAAAGUACUUUGUAAAAGAUUGAUGUAAAGUAGUAAUAUACGGGCUACAGACAUUAGGCUUAUAGUCAUAUGGCUUAAUUUAUCUAGAAAUUAUAAUAAAUCCAUUAUAUAUAUACAAAUAAAAUUGGUUGCUAUUUAGGAUUUUGAGACCUUCAAGAACUGGACUAAUCCUCUAGUCUGAAGACAGCUAUAGAGUGUAAAAUAUAAGUUUACCCGGUUCCCGAAAGUUUGAAAAUUUUAUAUAACAACCAAUUGCGGUAUUUUUUUUCUCAAAUAUCUUAAAUCAAUUGAGCCAUGUGAUGCGGAGUUAACCCUUUAAGUUAACCCUUGUGUCCCAAAAAUAAAAACUAACCUUUCGGACCAUUUAAAAGAAAAAAUAACUUUCUAUAGUCAAAAAAAUGUUCUUGUUUUUGGGACACUGGUGCCCUACUCGUCUUUAAAAGGUCAAGCCUUAGUUCUGAAGCCCAUAUAACUAUGAAAAUUAGGGCAUAAUGAAAGAAAUAAAUUGAAUUGUUAU